GAGCUGUGAAUGUAGAAACAGUCUUAAUGAAAGCACAAAACACCCAACAGCAAACCAGUGAUGCGGCACACACCACAACCUUUCACUCAAGCCAACAGGCACAAGUGAGAAAGGACUUUGAGUUUCAUCCCUACCAAACUGAAAGAGACUGUGUCUGAACUGACACCAAUCCGAGUUUGUGAAGGCACAGAAAAUCCUGAACAUCGGAAAACCAGCCUCACUUUCCCAAAGAGAGAGAUGAAUCCACAGAGUAUCUCUUGCCACAGCAGAAGGGACAUGUGUUCUGGGAACUGCAGAGGCAAAAUGUGUCAUGGGAAAAUCUCAACGGAUUCAGCCCAGGACGAGAAUAUGCAAAUUGAUGCAAAAUUAAAUGCAACUGAACAAGAUAACACAUAUCGCAGCAAUGGAGAAAACUCACAGCAUACUUGCAAAAAAGAUGGAGUUUAAAUCCAAGGGGGAGAUGAGGAUGUCUGAGCAGUCCCCACUGACUGUAUUUUGGCAGGAAUAUGAAGGGUUUCCCAAAAGGAGUCAAGAAAGUGCUGGAGAAAUAAGGAGCCACUGGAGUGCAAUGGUCAGUUACAGAACUAAAUAGAAGAUGAGUAACCCAGCCCUCUACAUAACAAACCAGACUCUGCUGCUCAUCGUGGUAGAGGAGCACGUGAACAUUAAAGCACAGACGCAGUGUUUGGUUCAGCAGAGCCCCAGAUCUCCGUGACUCUCUUCACUCCCCCCAGGAAUUGCAUAUGCACAAAUUGGGCCCAGUAUGUUUCAUACGGGGUAACUGGAGCUGGCUAUCCAGGCUGAAGGUUAAGAAGACUGAAUAUGGUGGCUUUGUUCCAAAACCAGCUCCAUUUCCCUACCUGGAAGUGGGAUGACAGUGAAAUCAGAAAUUACAGCCUUAUUUCAUAUCUGCAGAUUAAGCUGUAAUGUCAUUGCCCACAAUCACAGUAUCAUCAGGUAGCAGCAUCCAUCUCAGAUGCUCAGUAUCCCUUCCAUACCCUGGAGGGACUACGCCCUUAUUAAAGGUCUUAUUUAUAGACAGGGGAACUGAGGCAAUGAUCCACAUCCACAGAAAUAAGUGGCAGAUCUUCCACAGCUCCAAGUAGACCAAGCAGACCUAGUAACUUCUCCAGGUAUUACAACAGGGAAGAGAGGGCAGGAGUGCUCGUAGGGGCAUAACUGGAAGCAGAUGAAUCCCUCAGAAUGUUCCUGUUCACUCAGUGGCCUUCCCAUGCAGAUCUGAAACAUUAGCAAGCCAGAUUAUUUAAGGUGUAUUGCUGAGAGGAGGGAAUGAGGCAUGAAACUUGGGAAGCUCAGUCCCAAAGACUCCUCUUAGAAGCCAAGCUGUAAAGCUUCAUAUGCACCUGAACCUCUUCCCCUGUCAGCAUCUGCCUGUGAAAAGAAAACAGGCAGAGAGCUGCUCUGUGAAUGCUUUCUUGCUAGAUUUGAAAUCUCUGCCUUUGAUUGAAGUGGGGAAUGCAAUUGCACAAGUCAUUAAUAAUUACUGAUAAACCAAAGUACUACUGGAGCCAAGUAAAACCUCCUGCCACUAGGAUUGAAUCCUGGAAAAGAGCUCCAGCCUAUCUGCAUUUCCUAUUCUUUUGGCAAAAUCUGUGUUGGAAUUGCUGGGUCUCCAAACCGUGCGUAUACCCAGAGUAGGUGAUGUCUGUACGUGCAGAUCAAGAGACGUGAACUUCAUCUACACAGACGGCAAAAAGCAGCUUGCAGUUACUUUAACAUGUGACCAGUCCCAAUUAUGGCUUCUUCCACAUGGCAUCAGUAUGCGAUGGAGGAUCUCACUCUUCUUUUGCCAGAGGCAAAUGAAUACAUUACCCAGCAGCGAGGCGUGGGGCAGCGGAUGCCUCACUCUGGGGUGAUUUGGAUUCCACGCUCGCGUGGGGGUGUGAGCCAACCUCAGAAGUCAUUUUCACUGAUGCUGACACAUAAGGCUUCCCUCAGAGACCUGUCUAUCAAACUGCAACAUGCUAUGCAGAAAAAUUAGAUUACUCAUGCUACAAUAAAGAAGGGGAAGAUGACAACAAUGAAAAAACAAACCCCAAACCUCAAAAUGUAACAGCUAUUUAUUGAAUGAAUAAAAAUCCUGACGAGGGGAAAGUACCCAUGAGACUAUUUAUUUCUCUAUUUUACCUCUUGCAACCUGUUUCAAGGAGAGCCGGUUGGAAAGACCCUAUUAAUUCAGACACUGCCUCUGGAAAAACCACCACUUCAUCAUGAUUGUCACAUUACUGUACUUGUGAAAUAUCAUCUUAAAUAGUCAUUAUGAUUUUGCUGCUUUUCUUGCUGCAGUUAGCAGCAGGAUUUCCUUUGGCUUUGGUAAAAGCAGGAUCAGGCCCCCUCUCUCUUUCUCUCUCUGAAUUGCAAAUGGAUUGCUCACGUGUCAGCUCGGUAACUAGGCAAAGUUCAGCAAGCUCAGUUCAAAGCAUGCAAGAUGAAGCUCAGGGCAUUUCACUCACAGUAUUUGCCAAGUUCCUCAGGUCUACAAAAGUGUUAAAGUGGUUUAAUACAAAAUCCAUAAGACAAACAUUAUGCAGCUACGUGAACCCCUGUCCAAUAAAAUCUAUUUCUUUGGGAAAAAACAUACAAAGUAGUAAAACAUACACUUAGUACAGAAAAGAAAAGGCUGGGUGAAGCUUAGUAAAAUCCUAUAAAUCAGAAUGCUGCACAGCUUCAGGAAGGGUGAUUUAAAAUAAAUCUGCAGCAGAACACACACAGACACACACACAAUCCCGAGCUGGAAACGGACCUGGACAAGUGCCGAGGUGAGAACAUCUCAAGACAGCACUGCAGGAAUGGUUUUACAGUAUCAGAUAAUGGAAAGGUUUGGCCAAAGGCUGAUUUUUCUUCUCUAGUAAUAACAAACCUGUGCUGGGGCUUCUGCAGUAUUUGCUCCUUGAGUUACUCCCCAGGAAUGCUGUUUGGGAAGGCUAAUUGAGAUUUUUAACUCCACCUGCCCUGAAUCAUCUUACAGUUGUACUGCUCGCAGCUGCAAAUUCUAUUUUACCUACUGUUAUCAUUUUAUAAGAAGCCAGUUGUGUAUGGGCUUGAUUUGUGAAGCAGCUCCAGCCACUUCCCAUGGGGUUUAUGUUCCCGUCUUGAGUCUCUUUUCCAAAUAUUUCUUCCCAGAGAUAAGUUUUGGUUCCCAUCCAAAUAAAAAGAGGAGAAGCGUAAGCUCUUCUGUGGCCCUGCAUCUUGCACAGCCUCAGAGGAGCUCGUGGCCUCCUAACCAGAGCCAAGAACAGAUGCAAGUUUGCCUUUCCCUGCUCAUUCUCCAGCUGUGUGAUGCUGCCAUGUGCAGUGGUGUGGAUCAACCCAGCUGCACCCUUUUAAGCCUGGUGAGGGGUUCUUUUGGGGUUUGGCUUCUUAGCAUAGACAAGCAGUAUCAGCAUGACCACACGUUGUGGAAGUACAUAGAAUUAUAGGUCUCUUUUAAAUUGUCAGGAGCAAAUAUGAUCAGAUCUGGUUCUUGAUCUCAUUACUGUCUAAAAGAUUUGGUUGGCAUUUUUAAAUGCCAUGAUUUAUGUUCAUCACCUUAAGACGGCCCUUGGAAGUGUAAACCCAGUAACUCUGUUAUUCUCCAGGGCAACUCUAAAGAAUCUGUUUGGAGAAUUUUCACAACACUGUGUCUAUAUGAAGAUAUUAACGUGGAUUAAGACAAGUUGAUAGAUUUUAAACCAGGCUAUAGAAUGAAAACCAGUGAGAAUAAAUCAAAUAGCUUUGCCUAACUACAGAAAGUGUUUGCAAAGCCCUGUAAGGUUUCCAUUUCCUAAAGCCACCUGCCAUCCCAAAUGCCCCUAAUCAGUCACAGAUGCUGGAUACCAACCUGCUAACCCUACGGCUUUGAGAGAAAAUAUUGCACUUUGUAAACUCAUUCUUGGGUAUUUCCUUAAUUUUUCUUCAACUAAACUUUUAUCCCUUAUUUUCCACUUAAAUGUAAUGAGUUAAAUCAACUCUGACAUUUUGCCCUGCUCACCUCCCAGUUCUGCUCAGCUGCUUCCCUACCGACUUCUUGAAAAGUCUCAAGACCUCAGGUUUGGGGUUAUUUUUUUAACCACAAGGAUAUUUUGUCACUCUACGUCUCCUGGUGUUGAGCAGUCCUGUUAAAGGCAGAGCUUUCACUAUUUCUCUAACCUAUUGCCAAUGGAAAAAUGAAUGUUUUUCUGCUCUUAACUAAUGUUCAUCUCUACAAUGAAGAUUUACCAAACACUGAGCUUUGCUGAACUACUGUGGAAACCCUUUUUAACCCUCCAAACAAUUAACCCCCCAUCAAAUAAAAGUCCAUCCCUGAAGAAAUAAGAAGCAUUUUAGAGGCCUCAUCCAGCACCCACUGGAAUCAAACUGAAGAAUUUCACAGAUGAGGGAAGGUACCAAAACAGGCCCUGCUGCCAGAGCCCAUCAGAUGCUGUUCUCAAGCAGAACAGGGGGUUGCCUUGGCUCUGGAAGGAGCCAUUAUUCCACUUCAGUUCGUGAAGACAGACUGGGUGUGGGAGUUGUAAUGGAGGUAGGAAACAGACUGGAUUUUAUUAGUCUUCCAUCAUCUUUAAGAGAUCCCUAACCAGAUCAGGUUUCAGCCUCUCGCUCCACUCUUGUGUCAACCUUUGGUUCUGUUUUUGCUGGAGGAUAAGUUUCAUUAUAUUAAUAAGCAGCACAAGUGGUUCCAAUUGUGGAAGAACCACUCGGAGCUGUCAGAAAUGAUCAGAGGAGAAGUUUCAGCCUUUCCAUGAUCACAGCCUCUUCUUCUGGUGCCUCAGCUCAGCACCUCCCCAGUGCACUUCACAUUUGUAGCAGCCAUGACAAUAAUAAAAAGUCCGUUUACAUUUCAGCCAGGGGAGGUUGUUUUAAGGAAUUUAUUCUCUGAUCAUGGUAGUCCAUCAAUGCUCGGAAACCCGACGCUAAUGGGAAUAAUUGGGCUAACGUCCAAUCUACUGGCUGGGAGACUAGAUCUAGACAUGCAUGUAAGCUAUACAUCUUCGGUCUCCUACUGCAGUCAGAUUUUAAGCACAAACAUCUUUAAUUAUGCCACUAAACCAGGAAGUUUAUAGCUGAGUUUGUAACAUUUCUGAGUACGAAGAAAGAGGUAGUGAGAAAGACUCAGAACAAAACACUCCAAAAGCUGAGACCAUUGGGUCCUUAUAUAGAGUGAUCCAUUAGUGUUUACUAGCAAUAAUGCUCAGAAUUUGUCCCCCCCACAGCAUCCUCCCAGAGGAAAGGGUUUUAGGUAGACAAAGUAAUUAAAGGACCCCUACAAGAGUGGAAAUAUUACCAGAUUCAUUUUGCACAUAGGAAAAUCACAGAACGUUUAUCUGAGCUCAACAGACUGGACAGUAGAGAGAUGUUCUGACUCAUAACCCUGUGCUCCAACCACUACAAGAAGAUGGGUACCCAUGGGACAGGCAGACGGCAGCACUCAUGGUGCACAUCUCCACCAGCAUCCACUCCCCAGGCUGCAGGGCUGGGGUUUGGGUUCACACAUGUACCAUGAAAGGACCGAGGAUCGUGCUGCUCCCUGACAGGCUCCACCACUGCCCUGGAGGAACUGAGCGAAGUUUAGUUUUCAAAUGAGAGUCACCCGGGACUAGUGACUGAAAUGUCAUCUGUGUGAUGGAACAAGAAAAGGAAGGGAGAAAUGUAAAAGGGAAUCUUUGUAGCCAGGACUACCUGACUCUCCCGCAGUAGGAGACACAGGAAUAGUGUUUCAUGUCAUGGAGAUGUAGUUAAAAUGCAGACUGCAUAUCCUUGUUCUCAGAAUUUGAGAGGUGGGGUUUAUGCAUGUGGACAAGCCAUCGUUCCUCCCUUUGAUCUACCACUUGAUGUAGAGGAAGGCUUUUAUGUGUUAGUCUCAUAUAAUGGAUAAUUUAGUCUGAAACCAGUUUGAAAAGUAUUACACUUUGGGUACAUAUGCUUCAAUUAUUCUUGAAAGUACACAGAAAUAUUUUAUACCAUUCACAUCUAUUUCAAGGGAAAAAAACCCCAGAAUUUUUGUUGAGCACCCAAACAGAUUUGUUCUCCUGAGGGAAGUUUGGGUUUUAAAAGAAGUCUGCCAUUUUGUGAAUUAAUUGAAAGGUAGAAUGUAAUGUUUAAUUGGAGAAAUGUCAGUCAUUCAUUAACAUUACCUGGGGUACCUAUUGCUCUUUAGCUGCAUGUGUUUAUUCACUUUAUGAAUAAAACUACUUAACACAGAGGAACAGAGUUGAGCUCCCCUUGUUCAAGUGCACUUAGAGCUGAGUUUGCAAAUUAAUCCUAUCACCCCUUUAGAAGCAGUUACCCAUAAACCCAUGAACUGCUGGUACAACAUGAGUCACACUGACAGUGAGCAGGGCUUGAGUAUCCCCUUCUCCCACAGGUGUAGUUUGUACAAAGGGGUUGUUACAAGGAGGGUCUCCUUGUUUGGUUUUCUCCCCUAAACAUUCUCCCAGUGACAGGUCUUGGAGAUGACAAGAGCUGGACACCAGUCAGAGGAGAAUGAUGACAGCAGUGUCAAUGAUGGCUCCUUCGUGCCUCAGUUUCCCCCCUUUCUAAAUUAAGUAUCCUCAUAUACUGGCUUUUCAGUCAGGAAAAUUAUCUUGGCAUUUAAUCGGAUAUCUUCUAUUUUCUUCUACUGAAUAAAAGGAUGGAUGUGGCUCUGACAUAGUUCAAAGAAAGGAUUUACCCAUUUCACAUAUCAGAGGAAGUGUUUGGGUAGAUGUUGCCCUGUGAGACCUCUGAACUGAUCCUCUAAACACACAGCUGUUGGCAUUGCUAAUUCAAAUAGUUCAGCUACAGGAAUAAAAUGUUCAGCUUGGAGGCAUUUUGAGCUUCACAGACAACAGGGACACUAUAAAGAAACAUCCUGAUGUCUUUUUUUCCAUCUGUGCUCUCAGGACUGGCCCACUGUCAUUCCUUCUUGCUAUCCUGCAGGAGAUGGGCCCCCUAUACCCCCAAGGCUGUGACCAGUGUCUUCCUGAGCAAUGCAGGUGGAAAUCCUGCCCUCAAAUCCUGAAUUCCAAAACCUGACCCCCUGAAGGGGGCCAGAAGAGCUGAACAGGCCCAUCUGCACCAGCCACUGCUCCUACUUUGCAGCCAAACCCGCAUGAGGAGCAGUUGGUUAUGCAGUGGGGUUCAAUGCAAGCUAUUAGCCCCCAUUGUCUCCUGAGACCUGGCUUUAUUCAGUGCACUACACAAGCAAACCCUUUCCCCUGUGACAUCUGAACUGAGCCUCAGCAGCAGUGCCCAGGCUCUGAUCGCUGACCCAGCCUGCACUGUAGCCCAUGUGCAGAACUUACCCAAGAUGAAAGGCACCAAAUGACAGGAUAGAGAGUGCCGAGAGCUGGCAGCAGAGGUUUCUUCUGCAGACAUCUUGCUGGUUGUUUUAAGGUCUUCUGCCUCUAAGUGGCACCAUGCUGAGUGAUUGAACACUUGCUAGAAUCUGUUCUACCUUUUAUUGUAAUGAUUCCUUACAGAGCUCCCACUUUCCAAACUCUGAACUUUCAAGAGUACUGCCUGGAUGUCAGAGCCCUUUCGUCAGAAACACCAGAGCCUCUGGAGUGAUGGUCCCCAGUACUACAAAAUCCCUUUGGAAAGCCACAGCUCUUAAACCAUCACUAGGAAAGACUGAACUUUAGUUUUUAGAGAAGGCUGUCACAUCCCUGGGAUGUGUAAUGAGAGGUAUUCAAAACAGAGCCAGGCAGAGCUUUUGCUGGUGUAAAUUGCCAGAGGGUUACGCUGAAUCAUAGCCGUGCACAACCUGAUUUAUGGUUUUGUAUUUGCUUAAAGUAAUUAGGCCCAGACUACCUUAUAUACUACUUCUGCUCAGAAAGCAGGAAACAAUUUGGGAAAGGGAUAGAGAGUAUCUCAGAAAGGAUGGGUCUGACCUACACGCACACAGAUACACAACACACACAGGCUGGGAGUCCUGAAACUACUGAAGCAAACUGACCUCUUCAAACUCACCAUCGAGCACAAGAAACGUUGUACUUCUUAAAGCAGAAGGAA